CCAUGUGGUUUAAGUGGCCUGGUGGCCUGCAUAGACACUAGAUCCAUAUGCUACUACCUGGUUGUCAGGGAGGUGUGGGUGUGAGGUUGGUUGUCACGGGAGGUGCGGUGUGAUGCUGGUUUUCCGGGGUGUUGCGGGUGUGAGGCUGGUUGUCAGGGGAGGUGCGGGUGUGAGGCUAGUUGUCAGGAGAGGUGCGGUGUGAGGCAAGUUGUCAGGGGAGGUGCAGUGUGAGGCUAGUUGUUAGGAGAGGUGCGAUGUGAGGCUGGUUGUCAGGGGAGGUGUGGUGUGAGGCUAGUUGUCA
ensembl:lncRNA